UACAGAGGGGGCAAGCGUUGUUCGGAAUUACUGGGCGUAAAGGGCGCGUAGGCGGCCUGUUAAGUCGAACGUGAAAUCCCCGGGCUCAACCCGGGAACUGCGUCCGAUACUGGCAGGCUUGAAUCCGGGAGAGGGAUGCGGAACUCCAGGUGUAGCGGUGAAAUGCGUAGAUAUCUGGAGGAACACCGGUGGCGAAGGCGGCAUCCUGGACCGGCAUUGACGCUGAGGCGCGAAAGCCAGGGGAGCAAACGGG
rnacentral:rRNA from 1 species